rnacentral:rRNA from 1 species
UAAUACAGAGGGUGCAAGCGUUAAUCGGAAUUACUGGGCGUAAAGCGCGCGUAGGCGGUUGUGUAAGUUGGAUGUGAAAUCCCCGGGCUUAACCUGGGCACUGCAUUCAAAACUGCACGGCUAGAGUAUGGGAGAGGAAGGUAGAAUUCCAGGUGUAGCGGUGAAAUGCGUAGAGAUCUGGAGGAAUACCGAUGGCGAAGGCAGCCUUCUGGCCUAAUACUGACGCUGAGGUGCGAAAGCAUGGGAGCAAACAGGAUUAGAUACCCUGGUAGUCCAUGCCGUAAACGAUGUCGACUAGGUGUUGGGGAACUUGAUUCCUUAGUGCCGCAGCUAACGCAUUAAGUCGACCGCCUGGGGAGUACGGCCGCAAGGUUAAAACUCAAAUGAAUUGACGGGGGCCCGCACAAGCGGUGGAGCAUGUGGUUUAAUUCGAUGCAACGCGAAGAACCUUACCUACUCUUGACAUCCAGAGAAUCCUGUAGAGAUACGGGAGUGCCUUC